UUGUGUCAUCCCCUAGACAGCAGUGGUCAGGGCCAAUUUGUCAGCUCAUAGCAUGGAUAUCAUCUUCAAUGGCCAGGACCCCUACGCUCAGCCCUUCCUGGAACACAGUGAUCAAUAGCAGGGGUCGCUGCUUAGACCUGUGUCAGAAUCAGACAUAUCCAGGGCAAAUUUCCCAGAAAUCUAACUCAUAACUGAACAGCCUUCAGGGAAAGAAUUCCUCCUGAAGCAAGACUCAACAAUGGACAUCAUGAUAUAAAGUUUCUGUGCUUCAGCGAAAGGGGAUUCUCAAGGCACCCUGGGCUGACCCUCAUACCUGUCCCCUGUGGAUUCACGACUAUCAUCUCAUCUGCCUGAAGACAAGCUAGUAAACUACAACAUGGUGGGACAUAAAUCAGCCUUCAGUCUGGAACUGUGAGAGACCCUGCACAGCACUGUGGCUCAAAAGGACCACAGCCCCGAUUAGAGGGACCUUCCUGUGGGGGUGACCAAUUGGGGGUGGGGGGAACACACAAAGCAGAAAACAGAAACAGAAGCCCUGCUUGGGGAGCAUGACAGGACCCUGGGACAUGAGGAACUCAACAAUUGGGACAGCAAUUCCUAGGAGAAGGAAAUUCCUGUUGCCUGCAUUUCCUGAUCAGAAGGUGGGAGCUGAUGUUUGAAAAUAGAGGGCUGCAGAAUGAAACCAAGAAGAGUGAGAAAUGACGCAAACAUUCAAGAGACAGUAGACUCUGAUCAUAGACCAUGAAAGAAUGGGGACAAGUCUGAAAAAUAUCUCCAGUUAAAAUUGACAGUGACAGUGCAUGUGGAUGAGAGGGCGGGUGGUGAUGCCUCGGCUUCUAGAUAAGUAGAUAAACAGAUAAAUAGAAUAACUAGAUAAGUGGAGGAACCGUUUAUUGCAUCUGAGACUAGGAUCGGCAAGAUGGCUCAGUGGAUGAAGGCCCUUGAUGAAGCCUGAUGACCUGAGUUUAGUCCCUAAGACCAACAUGAUGGAGAGCAAGGACUGACAAAUGCUGCAUAAAGAGAAAGACAAUCUAAGUGCUGGUGUAAGCUAGCACUGUGCUGCCAGGCUGAUGAGACUGGGGCAAAAGACAAGGCAAGACACCAGGGCCAUCUUAGUGAUUACAUGGAGACCCUGCUACCCUGU
rnacentral:lncRNA from 1 species